CCCUUAGAUGUUCUGGGCCGCACGUGUGCUACACUGAGUGGAUCAGCGGGUCAGGUUGCGCGAAAGUGUUUCCUAAUCUUUAAAUCCGCUCGUGAUGGGGAUUGACGGUUGCAAUUUUCCGUCAUGAACGAGGAAUACCUUGUAAGCGCGGGUCAUCAUCCCGCGCUGAAUACGUCCCUGCCCUUUGUACACACCGCCCGUCGCUCCUACCGAUUGAAGUUUUCGGUGAGUUGACAGGAGGAUUUUUUUGAAACUGGUUCGCCAGUGGAUUUUAGAUCCAAAGGCCAACGAAUCGACGGCUUUAGAGGAAGGAGAAGUCGUAACA
rnacentral:rRNA from 1 species